GACGGAGGGUGCUAGCGUUGUUCGGAAUCAUUGGGCGUAAAGGGCGCGUAGGCGGCCUUGCAAGUCGGUUGGUGAAAGCCCGGGGCUCAACCCCGGAGGUGCGGCCGAGACUGCAGGGCUGGAGGCCGGAAGAGGAGGGUGGAAUACCCAGUGUAGAGGUGAAAUUCGUAGAUAUUGGGUGGAACACCGGUGGCGAAAGCGGCUCUCUGGUCCGGACCUGACGCUGAGGCGCGAAAGCGUGGGGAGCAAACAGG
rnacentral:rRNA from 1 species